UUAAAUUGAAGAGUUUGAUCAUGGCUCAGAUUGAACGCUGGCGGCAGGCCUAACACAUGCAAGUCGAACGGUAACAGGAAACAGCUUGCUGUUUCGCUGACGAGUGGCGGACGGGUGAGUAAUGUCUGGGAAACUGCCUGAUGGAGGGGGAUAACUACUGGAAACGGUAGCUAAUACCGCAUAACGUCGCAAGACCAAAGAGGGGGACCUUCGGGCCUCUUGCCAUCGGAUGUGCCCAGAUGGGAUUAGCUAGUAGGUGGGGUAACGGCUCACCUAGGCGACGAUCCCUAGCUGGUCUGAGAGGAUGACCAGCCACACUGGAACUGAGACACGGUCCAGAC
rnacentral:rRNA from 1 species